GACGAAGCCGUGCGAACGUUAUUCGGAAUCACUGGGCUUAAAGCGCGUGUAGGCGGGACGGCACGUCUGUCGCUGAAAUCCCCCGGCUUAACCGGGGAAGCUGGCGGAGAUACGACCGUCCUGGAGGGGCGUAGGGGGACCUGGAACUUCCGGUGGAGCGGUGAAAUGCGUUGAGAUCGGAAGGAACGCCCGUGGCGAAAGCGAGGUCCUGGACGCCUACUGACGCUGAGACGGCGAAAGCCAGGGGAGCGAACGGG
rnacentral:rRNA from 1 species